rfam:Ricinus communis cultivar Hale ctg_1100012345068, whole genome shotgun sequence.
GUAUCCAUGGUGUGGGCAUUGUAAUAAAGGUGAUUCAAAGCAAUCCCAUGCUUCAUGGAAGGACUCGGUAUUCUUUUGAUAAAAAUUAGAAAUUUCAGCUUUUAAUUC